CAUGGCCCAUGAUCUUUGGGAAAGGCACUCAGCUGAAAGUUGAACCACAACAUAAGGAGAUUUCCCCUCCAUCUGUCUUUGUUGUGAAAUCGACAAAGCCAAGAGAAAACGAUGGCAACAAGUUGACGGCGGCUUGUUUAGUUAAGGAUUUCUACCCUGCGAUCAUAAGCAUAAGCAUGAGUCAAGAGAAAGAGGUUGUAUACAAAUCGAAAGAAGGCAUUCUCUCUUCCAAUGGGAAAUACAGCAUGAUCCAGGUGAUCAAGGUUGAACCUAAUGAAGAAGUGAAGUGCUUUGUUAAACACGAAGGAGCCUAUACUAACCAGACAGAGCCUCAAUCAGCUCCCAUUCAGGCUCCAAUCAAUAACACUCAGUGUGAACCUUCAGAUUCCACUUCCGAAGAGCCAAACAUGGAAAAAGUGAACAUGCUGUCAGUGACUGUGCUGGGCCUGCGAGUUCUGCUUGCCAAAAGCAUCGCCUUCAACAUGCUUAUGACUGUCAAGUUGUUCAUUUUCUGAGGUUGUGAGGAGUGAACCAGCAACGGGCUGAAGACAGGAGACCGGGACCAGUGCCAGAGACUUCAGUUGGGGCGGAUUCCCAGCUGGUGUAAACCACUGUAAUGCUAUUGGAGUGAGUUGGAACAAAUCCCCAACUGGUGUAAAUGGCCUGUCGUGCCCUCCGAGUCAAUGGGCCGCACGCCCAGCUGCUGUCAAUUGGCGACUUUAAUACAUCUAUACCAAUUAUCACCUUCUUGGGAUUUGUCCCUAGAUCUUCUUUUCCAUGUUUUAAAUUAUUCAAUUUUUUCGGUUCCCCAUUCUCUUCAUUGCUAGUUAGUUCUGACUCUUAAAUGAUGUAUCACAAGAUAGUAAGUACUUGUAUUCUUCUUCAGUCUUCUGUUUAAUAGGAAUAUUUAGCGGGAAGUUUCCCUACCACAGUAUUACAUUGAGGCUUCCAAAUCCCUUAGGCAGCUUUGCAGAAUCUUAGUUUGAUUUUUUUUCACUAUAUAAAAAUACUGGUUUAUUGCUUAGGAAAUCCAUUCAUAGCUGAAGCAUUUUAUCAUUUUAGAGUAGAAAAUUUGCACCAGGUCUGUCACUGGUAUAAAUUGGUGCAACUCCAUUGACUUCAACAGAGCUGUGCUGACAUACACCAGCUGGGGGGGUGACGGCCCAUGUCCUCACGUUAUUUGUGAUAGCUGGUCAGUUCACCUCGGGGAUCUGUGCAUUUAUAUGAAACUGGUGGUUGCAGCUUUCUGUGCUUAUUAUGGAAAUAAUAAAGGUGAUUGUGCAAAGGGAAAGAAAGACCCUUUUUUUUA